rnacentral:misc_RNA from 1 species
GAUGAAGAACGCAGCGAAAUGCGAUACGUAGUGUGAAUUGCAGAAUUCAGUGAAUCAUCGAAUCUUUGAACGCACAUUGCACCUCUCGGUAUUCCGGGAGGUAUGCCUGUUCGAGCGUCAUUUGUACCCUCAAGCUCUGCUUAGUGUUGGGUGUUUGUUCCGCCUCUGUGUGUGAACUCGCCUCAAAACAAUUGGCAGCCGGCGUACUUGUUUCGGAGCGCAGCACAUUUUGCGAUCCAGAUCAACGUACAGCGGCAUCCAAGAAGCCUUAUUUAACGCUCUUGACCUCGGAUCAGGUAGGGAUACCCGCUGAACUUAAGCAUAUCAAUAAGCGGAGGA